rnacentral:sRNA from 1 species
CCUCCCUGUGCCUCAGGUUCUUGCAGAGUGGAAAUGCCCACUUCACAGAAUGGCUGUGGGUGUGGAUGAGACGAUGCAGUGGACGCUCCUGCCCAGCACCCAUGGGAGCUCACGAUGAUUGUGUUUACUGUUGGCUGCAAUAUGUCAUGACUUAUCAUGUGUGAUACUUGAGUGAAAAGGCAGCUGCGAGCCUGAGCUGACUCCUAUGAACCAGUCUUCUCCAGCAAUAGAACCUCCUUCAACUCGUGGUAGCCUAUACGCCAAGGGUGACAGACUGGAAAGCAGGAUCCACUGGUUCAUCUAUGGGAAAAGGAGGGGGAAUGAGAUCAAGGAUUGAGGACGCUAAUGGAGAUGGGGUUUCACCAUGUUUCCCAGGCUGGUCUUGAACUGCUAGACUCAAGUGAUCCACUUGCCUUGGCCUCCCAAAGUGCUGGGAUUACAGUAGAAAAGCAGUACUUCUGGUACUGGCUGGGGGUGGUGGCUCACACCUGUAAUCUCAGCACUUUGGGAGGCCAAGACAGGAGAAUUGCUUGAGUCCAGGAGAUUGAGACCAGCUUGGGCAGCCUAGGGAGACCCCCUCUCUACCAAAAAAAAAAAAAAAAAAAAAAGAAAAAAAAAAA